CCUACGUGCGGCAGCAGUGAGGAAUAUUGGUCAAUGGGCGCGAGCCUGAACCAGCCAAGUAGCGUGAAGGAUGACUGCCCUACGGGUUGUAAACUUCUUUUAUAAAGGAAUAAAGUGAGGCACGUGUGCCUUUUUGUAUGUACUUUAUGAAUAAGGAUCGGCUAACUCCGUGCCAGCAGCCGCGGUAAUACGGAGGAUCCGAGGGUUAUCCGGAUUUAUUGGGUUUAAAGGUAGCGUAGAUGGGUUGUUAAGUCAGUUGUGAAAGUUUGCGGCUCAACCGUAAAAUUGCAAUUGAUACUGGCAGUCUUGAGUACAGUUGAGGUAGGCGGAAUUCGUGGUGUAGCGGUGAAAUGCUUAGAUAUCACGAAGAACUCCGAUUGCGAAGGCAGCUUACUAAACUGCCACUGACAUUGAUGCUCGAAAGUGUGGGUAUCAAACAGGAUUAGAUACCCCAGUAGUC
rnacentral:rRNA from 1 species